AUGGUGCGGUUCCUCCGGCGGCAUAGCCUUGACAAGAGCAACUCGCACACCCACCUACGGAAGGAGGAGGAAGAGAGCAACAGCUGUAUAGAAAGCGACACGGCGGAGAUGCAAGAGCCCGGUGGCAAUGGUGGCGGGGGUGCUCCCCCGCUGCCCAACGGCCGGACGGCGCCUCGCUCCCGUCUCGCACGCGACGGGCCGCCCUCAGAUUUGGACGUGAUGAAGGAGAGAUUCGCGAAGCUGCUGCUUGGAGAGGACAUGUCAGGGACCGGGAAAGGCGUGCCGUCGGCUCUAGCGCUGUCCAACGCCAUCACCAACCUGGCCGCGUCCGUCUUUGGGGAGCACCGCAAGCUGGAACCCAUGGCGCCGGACACCAAGGAGCGGUGGAAGAAGGAGGUCGGCUGGUUGCUGUCCGUCACGGACCACAUCGUCGAGUUUGUCCCGACAAGACAGACCGCCGAGAACGGUACUACCAUGGAGAUCAUGUCGACAGCGCAGCGUCGCGACCUGCAGAUAAACAUCCCCGCUCUGCGCAAGCUGGACGCCAUGCUCAUUGUAAGCGCUAUUACCUUAUUAGAUUUAGCUAGGCAUCUUCAACGGCAACCUGCAAAAAACCUCCCUCAUUCAUCUAUAGACAGGGAAGGGGAGCCUUGGCGCAGUGGUAAAGCUGCUGCCUUGUGA
rnacentral:rRNA from 1 species